AUAAGACAGAAGACAGUUACACAGACACACUAUACAGUUAUACGUACAUACAUGCUAUAGAUAUUUUUUAAAAUAUCAUUCUUUCCUUGACGUCACUGACUGAACAGUGAAUACAUUUAACUAUAACAAAAUUAAGUAGAUAAAUCUAAAAAAGACCUAGUGCUUGUUCUCAGCAUGGGAAAGCUGCUAAUUACAUCUACCUCUGCAUUCAAGAGAACUGGAAAAUGGUUGAGGUUUUUAUUUUUAUUUUUUUGGUUGAGGUUUUUAAAAUCUAUAAAAAGAAAAUAUUAUAUGUCAAUUAUAUCUCCAUAAAGGUGGAAAAAACGAACGAAAUGUAAAAAGGUAAUUGUCUUUUAACUGGGAAAAAAAGUCUGUGUAUAAAAAUAGUAUUUUUCUUUUGUCUUACAAGUGAUACUGACGUAAAGGAUAUGGGCUCGACUGUUUAACAGCCUCAACUUGGUUUUUCUCACAUACUGUGUUCAGACAGGGAUAUACUCUGACACAGAACUGAACAGAUGUGGUUUCAGAACUGACAACUAUUUACAGAAGCCAAACAUUCACAUACAAAAUUGAUAAGAGAUGAAAGUUUAUUAUGUCAGCCAGGUCCUACAAAACCCUGAAAAGGCCUUGCCUGCUCAACAUAUCAAGUCUGAGCCCUUCUGUUUAUUUUACAGACUUCCAUCUAGAGAUCUAUUUUAUUUCAUAUACUGUUAAAAAAAAUGUGAAGUAUAGUUGAUUUACCAUACUGUGUUAGUUUCAGGUGGACAGCGCAUGACUUGGUGACAUGUACAUGUUUAUAUUUAUGCUUCUAGUACAAAGCUGCUGCCAGCUGGACGCUCUCUCUCUUCUGGCUCUUCCUUUUUGGCCCCCCACCCAAACAGCUUUUCUCUUCCUGACCACCCAAACCCUCCAAGACCCAGCUCAAGCUUGCCCUCCAAGAGAAAACCUUUCUCAAACACUGCAGCAAAUGCCAACCUUGCUUUCUUUUCACACUCUGCACCAUCAAUCUGCACCACUCAAUUUUACACUGAAGCAGAUGUACUCAGCAUGGUACUGACAUCUAGUAGGCUCUCAAAACUUGAUGCGUGAAGGUGAAGACGUCUUUUAAAAAAUUGCUUCCUUAUGUUUAACACAACCUCCAACCAGAACGCAAGUUCCUUAAGGCAGGGUCUAUAUAGCUUCAAACUUAAUCAGCAUUUCUCAGUGUCCUCAGACUAAUGCUGAGUUCACAAGAACUUUUUCCACAUCACAGAAGACUAAUCUUUCACUAUGAUAAAUUGCAAUUUAUCAUACAGUAUUUCUGCCACAGGACAAGGAUGCUAUCUCCUUACAGACUUUCUACUAUAGGGGUGGAUAACCAACAAAGUUCUAUUGUAUAGCACAGGAACACUGCUCAGUGUUACGUGGCAGCCUGGAUAGGAGGAGGGGUUUAGGGAAGAACGGGAAUAUGUACGGCUGAAUGCCUUCGCUGUUCACCUGAAACUAUCACAACAUUGUUAAUUGGCUACACCCCAAUAUAAAAUGUUUCUGGUGUUAAAACACAUGAAAAUAAAUAUAUACAUAAAGAAAUACAUUGUUCCAGUCAUGUAUGGAUGUGAGAGUUGAACUAUAAAGAAAGCUGGGUGCUGAAGAAUUGUUGGGAGAUCCAACAAGGAGAUCCAAUCAGUCCAUCCUAAAGGAAACCAGUCCUGAAUAUCCAUUGGAAGGACUGAUGCUGAAGCUGAAACUCCAAUAUUUUGGCCACCUGAUGUGAAGAACUGACUCACUGGAAAAGACCCUGAUGCUGGGAAAGAGUAAAGGUGGGAGAAGAAGGGGACGAUAGAGGAUGAGAUGGUUGGAUGGCAUCACUGACUCAAUGGACAUGAGUAUGAGUAAACUCCGGGAGUGGGUGAGGGACAAGGAGGCCUGGCGUCCAUGGGGUCGCAAAGAGUUGGAUACCACUAAGCGACUGAACUGAACUGAAAAAAAGAAUAAAAAAAAAAUGGAUUGCUGCCUCUACUUUCCAGUUAAGAGUUAUUAUGGUAUGGAGUCAAAGAGGGAGAUGCCUGAGAAAACAUUUUCUGAAUUUUUUAAUUUGGGGAGGUAUUUAUUGAGUCUCCCCACCCUCAAUUACGUAUUUUACACUUGUAUUCUCCGAGGCUUCAUUACCAAAUAGAAUUACUUCCCUUUAUCACACUCUAAACUUAAUUCCAUGCCAAGCUGUUGGAAUUUUAGAUUUUAUGCAGCCAAAAGAGAGCAACUGGGUUUAUGGCAUUAAUAAAAGGUUUGAUGGCAUUUUUAGUCUCCAGCCCAGAAUACUCUAAUUCUAGUAGUUCUCGGCCUUGAGAGAGGAUUAGGAAAUCUGAUACCCAGGGUACAGCCAGACAUUUCCUUAGGGAUGAAAUCCUUCUGUUCUAAUGGAAGGAGACCCUGGAGUUACAGACAUCUUGGCUUUUACGAGACCAACAAAUGUCCAUGGGAUUCUCCAGGCAAGAAUACUGGAGCUGGUAGCCACUCCCUUCUCCAGUGGAUCUUCCCAACCCAGGAAUCGACCCCGGGUCUCCUGUACUACAGGCAGAUUCUUUACCAGCUGAGCUACCAGGCAUGGACAGGGACUUGGAAAUAGUUAUUAAAUAAGAUUUGAGUUCAUAGAUUUUGUUCUAUUGGACUUCCCUAGUGGCUCAGUAAAAUAUUAGCAAUAGCCCUUUACUAAUAGUUUACUUCAACCUCUAGCAUGUAAAAUAUAUUAAUGGGGAGCUGCAUGCGUGUGUGCUCAGUUGCUUCAGUGGUGUUUGACUCUCUGUGACCCCAUGUAGCCCGCUAGGCUCCUCUGUCCAUGGAAUUUCCCAGGCAAGAAUACUGAAGUGGGUUGCAACACCCUGCUCCAGGGGAUCUUUCUGACCCAGGGAUCAAACUUGAGUCUCCUGAGUUUCCCGAAGUGCAGGUGGAUUCUUUAUGUACUGAGCUACCAGGGAAGCCCUAAAUGGGCAUGUAAUCCAAUACUUUUUAUACAAUUGGUUGUUUCCAGCCCUUCAGAUUCCUAUUGAUGACUAGAAACAGUUUACUGUAUUUUCAAGUCUGACAUAAACCCAAACACAUACCAUCUAUACAAAUAUAAAUUUCCUACCAUAUUUUGGACAGUUUUCUUAGACUAGGAUCUCAGAGCUGCAUUUACUAGGUUUGAAAGUACAAAUAUUUUGAUUACUUUGAAACACAGAGCAAUAUUAUGAUCUCAGGUCAGGGUUAACAUUACAUUUAGUUUUGAACAUUACUCUUCCUUUGUGAAAAAAGUAGAUUAGUUAAUUGAAAGAGAACUAAGUCCUUAACAUAUAGGUGGAUAAUCAAGAACCAAAUUGUGUGGUCUUCAGAAAAUAGCUAGCCGUAAGCCCCAGGGCUUUGGGGCCAGAUUUUCAGGGUCUGAUUUCCCCCUAAAGCACAGGCUAGCUAUAUGACUUCAGCCUGCUCCUCUAUAAAAUGACGAUAAUGGUGCUCAGCUUUAUUCUGAAAGCUAAAUAAGUCUGUACUUUUAAAACACUUAAGGGAGGGGGGAUCGGGAUGGGGAACACAUGUAAAUCCAUGGCUGAUUCAUGUCAAUGUAUGGCAAAAACCACUACAAUAUUGUAAAGUAAUUAGCCUCCAACUAAUAAAAAUAAAUGGGAAAAAAAUAUAUUAUCUGGAUUACAAAAAAAAAAUAAUAAAACACUUAAGAGUAGUGUCUGGUACGUAGUUGAGAGCAAAAAAUGCCAGUUGUGUAUGAAGUUUAUUUUAGCUCUCCUCUAAUAUAGAUUAAAAAAUUAUGAUCUAAUGAACAGCUUCCUGGAAUGUUAAUUUUACACGAAAAUUCUGGGGAAAUUCUUUUGAUAUGAAAGCAAACAUGAGUUAAUGCAAAAUAUUCAUGAACAAAAGACUCCAAAGAAAUUAUCAGGGGUUACACCAGGACCCUAGAACCCAUAUAUUAUAUACUAUAUUUGUGAGACAGUCUAAGAAAUAGGUGUGAAACAUAAUAAAGGAAACCUCAUUUAAAAUGAAGUCAGGAGGCCAAAAGCCAGAGCCCUCAAGUAUGUUCACUCACCAGCAAUUCCAGACCCCAAAAGGAAAAAUUCUCCUCUCCCAGCAACCAGUGCAGACAAUUCAAAAAAUAGCACGACCCCGAACUCUCACCUUCAAUCAAUGGAAUUUCGUUUAAAACAACCCACCCAACUUCCUUCUUUUGCUCUAUAAAGUAAUGUUCUUCUCCUUUCCUUGUUGCACUUGGCUAUGGUUUUUGCUGUAGCUUCUUGUUUUUAGUCACUAAAUCGUAUCUGACUCUUGUGAUUAGGUGUUCUGUAGCCAACCAGGCUCGUCUGUCCAUGGGAUUUCCCAGCCAAGAACACUGGAGAGGGCUGCCCUUUCCUUCUCCAGGGGAUCUUCUCGACCCAGGGAUCAAACUCAUGUCUCCUGUACUGGACCGAUGCUGAAACUCCAAUCCUCUGGCCACCUGAUGAGAAGAACUGACUCCUUAGAAAAGACCCUGAGGCUGGGAAAGAUUGAAGGCGGGAGGAGAAAGGGACGACAGAGGAUGAGACGGCUGGAUGGCAUCACCGACUCGAUGGACACGAGUUUGAGUAAGCUCCAGGAGAUAGUGAAGGCCAGGGAGGCCUGGCAUGCUGCGGUCCAUGGGGUCGCAGAGAGUCGGACACGACUGAGCGACUGAAACUGAAGUUUGAUUUUUGAGUCCGUUUCAAUAAGGCGCUGCGACCGCGGACAACCAGAGGUCCCCCACCGAGGGCGUCUGUCCCUCCACCCCCGUCCCCGGGGCCGAUGUUUCCCGCGCCGCCGCCACCGCAGUCCAGCUGACGGGGCAGGGCCGGGACCCCUCUCUCUCACCUGAGGCGGCUGGCAGCACCCACCGCCCAGCGACCAGCAUCAGGGUCGUCGCGCCCAGGAGCGCGAGCAUCGUCCGCUGGCCGCCGGCAGCCCUCCAGUCACAUCCUUCGGCCACCCACCACCGCCACCCGCACGGCACGGCGCAACGGAGACUGAGGCGCCCAGGCCGCCGGAGCCGCUCUGGCCCCGCCCACUCCGCGUCCGCCCUUCGCUCAGCCCUCCGGCCGCCCGCUCAUGCGCCGUGCCUUCCUCACGCGUGUCCCUGUCCGCGCACGCGCGCGGGGCGGCAAGGAGCGCUCGGCCGGGGGGUCGGGGUGGCCCCUCCUCCGCCGCCCGCCCCUGGGUUCCCGGCAGUGACUGCUCUCUCAUUUGUGCUACGUCGGGCUCCGGAAGACCGCGCCUCCCUGGAGGCCUUGACCCCUGGCGGGACCGCGGAGGUCGCCAGUGCGCCUGCGCAAACCUCGAGGCCCGCAGUCCGCCUUUCCUGUUAGUGGCAGCGGGAGGGCACCCUGGGGCGCUCUCGGCCCUAGGGGCGGGGUGGGGGGCGGCUGGGGGGCUGUGUCGCGGACUGGGGAGCCUGGGGGGGUGGUGUCGGGGAGGCUAAGGGAGGAAGGAGUGAAGACGCUCCGAGCGGGUCAAGCCAUUUCCUUAGUGCAGAGCUUCCCUCGUGGCGCAGACGGGAAAGCGGCUGCCUGCAAUGCGGGAGACCCGGGUUGGAUCCCCAGGUCGGGAAGAUCCUCCGAAGAAGGGAACGGCUACCCACUCCCAUACUCUUGCUUUGGAAUAGUCCAUGGAUGGAGGACCCUGGUAGGAUGGUACAGUCUCCGGGGUCGCAAAGAGUCGGACGCGACUGAGCGACUUCACUUUCUCUUUCUGUGAGCCCAGGCUUAUGUUUAGUUGCUAAGUCGUGUCCAACUCUUCAGCGACCCCAUGGUCUGUAGCCCAGCAGGCUCGUUUCUCUGUCCGUGGGUUUUCCCAAGCAAGAAUUAACUGGAGUGGUUUCCCGUUUGGGAAGGUGUGUCCAGAAUUAAGCCUAGGCAUGUAGAGAGCUGACUCAUUUGAAAAGACCCUGAUGCUGGGAAAGAUUGAGGGCAGGAGGAGAAGGGGACAACAGAGGAUGAGAUGGUUGGAUGGCAUCACAGACUCGGGGACAUGAGUUUGAGCGAGCUUUGGGAGUUCUGAUGGACAGCGAAGGCUGGCGUGCUGCAGUCCAUGGGGUCCCAAAGUCAGACACAACUGAGUGACUCUACUGAUAGAGGUUUUUUAGAUGCACAUAGCAUUUGGCAAUGAGAAUCACAUUCAAAUGGAAGUACUUCCAAAUGCAUUUUUAAAUGCAAGAAUUAUAUUUAGUGAAUACCUAUAGAGUUUCUUUUGAUUUUCAUUUUUAUACAAUAAAAACAAUUUUAGGCGAUUUAAUGCUUUGUUUUUCAGUAUUGCCGCAUGGCAUGCUAAUGUUUUCCACUUGUUAAAGAAAGGUCAAUCAUAUUUUAUAAAACCACAAUUCAGCUUUAAGUUGACAGUAUUUGCAUGGCACAGAAGACUUUCACGGUCUUUCCCAUCUUAAUACAAUAACUGUAAAGUUUGAAUUGUAUUUUAAUAAAAUUGAAUUAAAAAACAUGA